rnacentral:rRNA from 1 species
GACGAACGCUGGCGGCGUGCUUAACACAUGCAAGUCGAACGGAAAGACCCUGCUUUUGUGGGGUUCUCGAGUGGCGAACGGGUGAGUAACACAUGAGUAAACUGCCCUUAUAUUUGGGAUAACUUCAGGAAACUGGGGCUAAAACCCGAUAGGAGCUCCUGCUGCGUGGGGGGGGUUGGAGAGUUUCGGCGGUUGGGGCUGGUCUAGCGGCUUAUCCGCUUUUUUGGGGGGUAGUGGCUUACCAGGUGUUUGACGGGUAGGCGGCCUGAGAGGGGUACCGGGCACAAGGGGACUGCGAGACGCACCAGACGCCUACGUGAGGCAGCGGGGGGGAGUAUGGCACAACGGGGGGAAGUGUGAUGCAGCAACGCCGCGUGCGGGAUGACCUCCUUCGGGUGGUGAACCGCUUUCGCCUGUGACGAAGCGUGAGUGACGGUAAUGGGUAAAGAAGCACCGGCUAACUACGUG